GGCCUACGGGACGCAGCAGUGAGGAAUAUUGGUCAAUGGGCGAGAGCCUGAACCAGCCAAGUCGCGUGAGGGAAGACGGUCCUAUGGAUUGUAAACCUCUUUUGUCGGGGAGCAAAAAGGCCUCGUGAGGCCACAAGCGAGAGUACCCGAAGAAAAAGCAUCGGCUAACUCCGUGCCAGCAGCCGCGGUAAUACGGAGGAUGUGAGCGUUAUCCGGAUUUAUUGGGUUUAAAGGGUGCGUAGGCGGUUUUUUAAGUUAGUGGUUAAACGUCGGGGCUUCACCUUGAUUUGCCAUUAAUACUGUAA
rnacentral:rRNA from 1 species